rnacentral:rRNA from 1 species
UACGGAGGGUGCGAACGUUAAUCGGAAUCACUGGGCUUAAAGGGCGCGUAGGCGGGCUGUCAAGUCUGGGGUGAAAUCCCGCGGCUCAACCGUGGAACUGCCUCAGAUACUGACGGCCUCGAGGGAGAUAGGGGCGAGCGGAACUAAUGGUGGAGCGGUGAAAUGCGUAGAUAUCGAGAGGAACACCUGCGGCGAAGGCGGGUUGCUGGGCCGACACUGACGCUGAUGCGCGAAAGCCAGGGGAGCGAACGGG